CUGGUGGGCUGUGACCUGUCAUUGUUUGUGGCUGCAGAGAUACCCAGGCCCUUUACUUCCUCUGGGAUAAGAGCAGGGUGCAACCUCCAAAACCAUUAACAAUGUUCUGUCUGGGGGGAGGCCAGAGAGGCUGAAUGGAUGUUGUUGUGAUGGAGAUGUGAAAGAGGGCUAGUAUCUCCACAGCUGUCUUGAAUUUCUCUGACGGGACAGUAGCCAAGGUGACCAUAAAGAUAUUAAUUUAUAACUUAUCAGAACUGACUGGCUGUUUAAACCCUACAUAUGUUUGUAUUGAAUGAGUCUAGGGUCAGGGCAUUUUUGUACUUUCCUCUUUCCCUCUGAAAUGUAAAUACAUUUCUUCAUGUGAUGACCGAUUUACUUCAAUCCACAAAGCACAGAUUGGAUGUGUCAUAAAAUAGCUAAAUCCCAGCUGGGUGGUCCCAGCAUGGAGCAUUUACACAGUUCUUCAGAAACAGCUCUUCUUG
rnacentral:lncRNA from 1 species